GCUUACACAUGCAGUCGAACGGAGUAGCAAUACUUAGUGGCGGACGGGUGAGUAACGCGUAAGAAUCUAGCUUCAGGUUCGGGACAACAGUUGGAAACGACUGCUAAUACCGGAUGUGCCCACGGGUGAAAGGCUUGCUGCCUGAAGAAGAGCUUGCGUCCGAUUAGCUAGUUGGUAAGGUAAAAGCUUACCAAGGCAUCGAUCGGUAGCUGGUCUGAGAGGAUGACCAGCCACACUGGGACUGAGACAAGGCCCAGACUCCUACGGGAGGCAGCAGUGGGGAAUUUUCCGCAAUGGGCGAAAGCCUGACGGAGCAAUACCGCGUGAGGGAAGAAGGCUCUUGGGUUGUAAACCUCUUUUCUCAGGGAAUAAAACAAUGAAGGUACCUGAGGAAUAAGCAUCGGCUAACUCCGUGCCAGCAGCCGCGGUAAUACGGAGGAUGCAAGCGUUAUCCGGAAUGAUUGGGCGUAAAGCGUCCGCAGGUGGAACAACAAGUCUAGUGUCAAAGACCGGGGCUCAACCCCGGGUCGGCGGUGGAAACUGCUGAACUAGAGGGUCGUAGGGGUAGAGGGAAUUCCCAGUGUAGCGGUGAAAUGCGUAGAGAUUGGGAAGAACAUCGGUGGCGAAGGCGCUCUACUGGACGGCACCUGACACUCAGGGACGAAAGCUAGGGGAGCGAAUGGGAUUAGAUACCCCAGUAGUCCUAGCCGUAAACGAUGGAUACUAGGUGUGGCUUGUAACAAAACGAGCCGUGCCGUAGCUAACGCGUUAAGUAUCCCGCCUGGGGAGUACGCUCGCAAGAGUGAAACUCA
rnacentral:rRNA from 1 species